rnacentral:rRNA from 1 species
GACGAACGCUGGCGGCGUGCUUAACACAUGCAAGUCGAACGGAAAGGCCCUGCUUUUGUGGGGUGCUCGAGUGGCGAACGGGUGAGUAACACGUGAGUAACCUGCCCUUGACUUUGGGAUAACUUCAGGAAACUGGGGCGAAUACCGGAUAGGAGCUCCUGCUGCAUGGUGGGGGUUGGAAAGUUUCGGCGGUUGGGGAUGGACUCGCGGCUUAUCAGCUUGUUGGUGGGGUAGUGGCGUACCAAGGCUUUGACGGGUAGCCGGCCUGAGAGGGUGAACGGCCACAUUGGGACUGAGGUACGGCGCAGACUCCUACGGGAGGCAGCAGUGGGGAAUAUUGCACAAUGGGCGGAAGCCUGAUGCAGCAACGCCGCGUGCGGGAUGACGGCCUUCGGGUUGUAAACAGAUUUCGCCUGUGACGAAGCGUGAGUGACGGUAAUGGGUAAAGAAGCAACGGCUAACUACGUG